rnacentral:rRNA from 1 species
UACGGAGGGGGCUAGCGUUGUUCGGAAUUACUGGGCGUAAAGCGCACGUAGGCGGCUUUGUAAGUUAGAGGUGAAAGCCCGGAGCUCAACUCCGGAAUAGCCUUUAAGACUGCAUCGCUAGAAUUGUGGAGAGGUAAGUGGAAUUCCGAGUGUAGAGGUGAAAUUCGUAGAUAUUCGGAAGAACACCAGUGGCGAAGGCGACUUACUGGACACAUAUUGACGCUGAGGUGCGAAAGCGUGGGGAGCAAACAGG